rnacentral:lncRNA from 7 species
GUGUUGUGUCAGCAACUGGCUAUCUUCUUCAGAGGCACAAUGAAUUUUGCAUAAUGUUAAUGAGAGUUUCGUAGUUCUGUCACGGAAGUACAAGGUACUACAAUCACCCCCUUGCUUUGUAUGGGCAGAAUCAGACCAGAUGAGGGACAAAAUAAUAAGUGAAAAGAAGACUUCUUCCAGUUUCAAACUCUACAAACAACAGAGGAUCUAUCGCUGAGUCACAGAAGUGUGAGGGAGAAAGGAGACAUCCUUCAUGAAUGGAAUGAAGCUCUGUAACUAAUUUUGAAUACUACCUGGAUUUCCUCUAAUUUGAGGACUUGGCACAAGAUAAUUGAUUUGUUUUCUACAUUUUGGGAAAAAAAAAAAAUCAGGAAAGAAGACCUGUGAAAAUGCAUGGUGAGAUGUUGAAUAGAUGUGUUAUCACUUACGGUUCCUAGUGUGCCAAAAAUCCCCUAAUAAAACCCAAAUCCAAACGUGGUGCUAAGCAGGAAAAAAAAGUAGGUAGAUAAGCAGGGUUAAGAGGCAAAGGAAGAAGCAAAUAUUACCAUGUUAUGGAGGCUACUCUUGUCUAUUCAUCCUUGUGCUAUACAUAUAUUUGUAUGGUAAAAACAAAACACAAAGAAAGCCUCUUCAAAUAUAUAUAUUAUGAGGAGUAAGAACCCUAUAUAUACUUGAGAGACAUGAAAUUGUUUGCCUUUAAAUUAUCCAGAUGCCUUUAAAAACCUCUCUUGUCCUUAAUAUUCCUUUCUCAAGCUUCUCUUUAAUUCACCCAGUUCCAACUCCUUGCCUUUUAAGAAAUGGAAGUGGAUGGCACUUCUGCUGUAUCUGUCUGAAAAGAAAACUAUGCGGGAAGCAGAAUCAAAGUAUGCCAUUCAGUUUACCUAUGAAUACCUAUGCCAGAGCGGGGGUUAAUGUAAGUGUAGAAUGUUAUACAACAUGAAAUGCAGAGCGCACUGCACAAUCAUGGUAUAGCAGGUAGCUAUGAAUAAAGCAGAUAUCAG